AUGUUGCUCCGCCUGAAGAUUACCACCGUCCAGCCUGUGGCGCUGCUUCUUGGGCAUGACCAUGGCGCGACAGCAUCCCCGCGGCGUCUCGCCGGAGCCCUUCCGCAGGGCGGUGGAGCGUCCACGAGGGCAAAGAGGCUGAGGAGCGUGGCGGUGGCGAUGGCGCUCAAGGAGGAGGAGCCGGAGAGCAGCCGAAGCCGCUUCGCCGGGGGCGGCCCGAGCUGGGACCCCAGGAUGGAGAUCGGAGUCCCAUACGAGCAAAGACCGGUUAACGAGUACUCCGCUCUCAAGGAGAGCACCUUGUACUCUUGGGCAGAGCUGAGUCCAGGCUCUUUCUUCAUGCGCCUAGGCAGCCUGUGCCUGGUCACAUUUACAGUUCUGGCGGCCCCAAUCUCAGCCGCAAGUUUCAGUCCCGGAAAGGAUCCACUCAAGUUCGUGCUAGCUGCUGGGAUUGGGACCCUGCUCCUGGUGUCUCUUGUGGUUCUCAGGAUCUACCUGGGUUGGAGCUACGUGGGUGACAGGCUAUUAUCGGCAGUCGUGCCGUAUGAAGAAACCGGGUGGUACGAUGGCCAAAUGUGGGUCAAGCCAGCAGAGGUGCUGGCUCGCGACAGGCUAUUGGGAUCUUACAAGGUAAAGCCGGUGAUCAACCUGCUCAAACAGACACUGGUGGGCACCGGUGCGCUGCUCGUCGGGGCGGUGGCACUCUUCGCCUUCGCCGCCCCCGUCGAGGAAUUCGUCCACUCCUUCAAUGGAGCCCCCACUACCGCCUCCUCUAAGCCGAUCAUGAGGAGAGAGGACCUGCUGAAGCUGCCUGCCGAGGUGAGGCAAGACGACGACCUCGCUGCGGCUGCUGCGGAGGCCGCCAAUGGACGCCCGGUUUACUGCAGGGACCGCUACUACCGGGCGCUCGCCGGCGGUCAGUACUGCACCUCGGACGACCUGCUCAACUGA
rnacentral:rRNA from 1 species